UUUUUCCAUAAAAGGGGCAGUCAGCAGCUUUAAAAGGGGAGUCGAAAAAAUAGAGAAAAACACACAGCAGCAGAGAGGCGUGGCACUCGAGCAAAGGAAAAUCUGAAAUUGAAUCAGCAAAAGCCGAAUCAGAAAUUGAAGUAGCAGUCCAGAAUUUCAACUAAUCGAGAGAAGGGAAGCUCGACGAUUUGAGGAAUUUUCUUCUCCAAGAUUCAGUCUGUAACUUAUGUUAUUUACAAUUGAUUUUUAUUCGUUUCGAUUGCUAUGAGUGGCUAAAUUAAUUAAGCUCAGUUAGACACUUAUGAAACUUAGCACAGGAAAUUUGAAGGUUUAUUUGCUUAAAUUCGGAUUUAGCAUUCUUGAGUUGCUAACUUUUAUUGUUCAAGGAGUUUUGCCUCUAAAUUAACUAGAUUGAUCGCCUACCUAAUUUAGGACAUUUCUUAUAAUUAUCUAAGUGUAAUUGAGUAAUCAAAUUUCUUAAUUAAACUUAAAAUCAGUGAUAAUAAAUUAGCAUGCUGCUAAUUAACGCAACUACGGAUUUAAUUUUAGAAGCCGCUGGAGGAUUUUCUUUAAUUAACGCAAGGUGAAAUCCCUAAAUGCUUAGCGCACUUUUAAUUCGAAAUUAAGGGUAGGUAUUCAAGUAUGAAUGUUCUCUAUUUGAAUUUAAAUUUAUUUGGGAUAAGAAUUCAUUUCGUAAGUGAUUUUCUUCAGCCUUGUUGCUAGAUUAGAUUAUUAAAAUAAUUAAAUGACGAUAAGGACUUGUGCUAGGUGGAUUAAGGAGUUACUAACUGAGCAUUCUUCCUCUUAAUUCGACAAUCUUUCAGCAUUUACAAUUUAAGCUACAUUUUAUUUGUUACCAAAGAGCAUUAUUAGAAAAACCCCCCAUUUUUCCUUUGCCGCAUACGCUUAUAUUAACUUGAUUUCAAUUCUUUUCAAAUAGGUUUAACACGAGCUUCUUCGUGGGACGAUUCCGUACUUACUCUAUAUUACCAGUUAAUAUUGGUUGAGUAGGGGAUUAAAUUCGGUGGUCGUAACGACAGCUACUAGGUAUCAUGAUAUCUACUUUCAAUAUUACAAUAUCCACCAUUCCAAGAAGACCCUAAGGCUCGACACUACCCGAGGUAUUGUAAUAUCCUUUUCUGGAAAUUGCGAAACCAAUAUCGUCAAAAGGACAAAAUUGGAGAAAAAAAGGUAGACUUUGUCCAUCCAAUCCACCAAUAACCCAAGUCCCAUGUAAGGACAAUUUUGGCAAUGAAAAUUCACCAGCUUUCAGCCUAAAACAGCCAAAAUUGGCUGAGGAGGAGAGAGAUACACAUUAGCUUAGUUUUAGUCUUAUUUUUC
rnacentral:lncRNA from 1 species